rnacentral:rRNA from 1 species
AGUGAACGCUGGCGGCAGGCCUAACACAUGCAAGUCGAGCGGCAGCGGGUCCUUCGGGAUGCCGGCGAGCGGCGGACGGGUGAGGAAUGCGUCGGAAUCUGCCUUUUUGUGGGGGAUAACGUAGGGAAACUUACGCUAAUACCGCAUACGACCUACGGGUGAAAGUGGGGGACCGCAAGGCCUCACGCAGAAAGAUGAGCCGACGUCGGAUUAGCUAGUUGGCGGGGUAAAGGCCCACCAAGGCGACGAUCCGUAGCUGGUCUGGAAGGAUGAUCAGCCACACUGGAACUGAGACACGGUCCAGACUCCUACGGGAGGCAGCAGUGGGGAAUAUUGGACAAUGGGCGCAAGCCUGAUCCAGCCAUGCCGCGUGUGUGAAGAAGGCCUUCGGGUUGUAAAGCACUUUUGUCCGGAAAGAAAUCCUGUCGGCUAAUACCCGGCGGGGAUGACGGUACCGGAAGAAUAAGCACCGGCUAACUUCGUG